rnacentral:ribozyme from 1 species
UUUUUUUUUUUUUUUUUUUUUUUUUUUUUUUUUUUAUCGCAAC